GAUUAGGGUACGGAGGAUUUAAACGCUUCAUUUUGGUCAACGGUUAAGUUCCGGGAAGAGGAGGACAUUACGCAGGCGCAAUGAAAAACAUUCCAUAUCUUAAACAUCUUUCAACUCUAAUUGCCAGAAGAGAUACAGAAAAGACACUUAAGAGAACAUGCACCAAGAAAAAAAGGCACAUUUGCUUCAAUAUGGCCCUUUUUGUACUCCUACUCUCAGUGUUAUGACCAACUGUUCUUAUUUUCAGCUGACUUAUGUCCUAGCUCCAACUCCCCAGGGGGCUGGAAGGGCUCAAUAAAUAAGCGAAAAAAAGGAACAUUGUGAAGAAA